ACUGCGACUUUUAUUUUCUAGCUUUCAGUACACAUUUAUAAUUUUAUAGCUAUUCUCGCGUCUCAAGUUAAUAACAAAAAGUGUUUAUUUUAUAAAAUAAAAACGGUGCCUCUAUAACUUUUUUAUAAUCCUGCUUCUUUCGCAUUCAUUGCGCUUACUCGAAUAAUAUUCUCUGCAACAGGUUAUCGGCCUUAAGCCCGUAAGGAAGUGAGAGCAGUGAAUUGCUUUGUGCAAAAUAAAGGUGUUGCGUACAAAAAAUAAUAAUUGAAAAAAAUUAGAGUGCCAUCGACGUUUUGAGCCAUAGAGUUACCAUGUCGUAAAAAGGAGACAGCUACGACGUAAACAAGCAGCCUUAAAAGGUAGAGAGAGAGAUGAAACGAUCGGAGAAGGGGAAGGAGUGUUGGUGGGUCUUUCUCCUUAGCGCAAUCAGUGUGGGGUCUCUACCAAGUUUUCCCGGGCUUCGGAUGCCAACUUCUUGUUUGCGUGGCAAAAUAUCUUAUGCAGAUCCAGCAGUCCACUUUUGUUGGGCUUGCAUGUUUAUUUUUUUUCAAGACCGAUGGGCCAAAAAGAAGAGAGACUAGCACAAAUAAAAAAAUAGCUCCACUCUUAUUUCAAGCAUCAGAAAAACAGUGACGUGGAUUUCCAGCCUACGAUGUGAAAAGGAGUUUUGCUAGUUAGAAAUGAACAACGCUUUCAAAAUUACCUUGUGCUCGAUCUUAAUGCAAGAAUUUAACACUUCUUACAUUCUCGUUAAGCUUUGUUCCGUCAUAAUGAACUUUCCUGGUAAACAAAUAUUUUUGCAGAUGUACUCUUAUGCAUAUAUGCACCGAAAAACUUGUCAGCUCAUUGCGUAUACAAAAAUCAUAUAAUGCGCCUUAAUGACUACCACCAUAU